UACGUAGGGGGCUAGCGUUGUCCGGAAUCAUUGGGCGUAAAGCGCGUGUAGGCGGUCCGAUAAGUUCGCUGUGAAAGUCGGGGCUCAACCCUCGGAUGCCGGUGAAUACUGUCGGGCUUGAGUACGGAAGAGGCGAGUGGAAUUCCUGGUGUAGCGGUGAAAUGCGCAGAUAUCAGGAGGAACACCAAUUGCGAAGGCAGCUCGCUGGGACGUUACUGACGCUGAGACGCGAAAGCGUGGGGAGCAAACAGG
rnacentral:rRNA from 1 species